UCACUUACUUCGAUGCAUGGACCAUCAGACGUACCAAAGGUGACAAGGACAAGGACCCUCUCCACCCGGAGAGGGACUGGAUCAGCUAUAAAGCCCGGUCAGAUGGAGAGAACUACACCGAAAAAUUGAAGGAGACGUACGGGCCUGACGCUGAUCCUCAUGUGCUACCGUUUGACCCUCUUGUGGCCAUUGUCGCGGCAUGCGGUAGACCGAAUGGCCGGAUGGCGGUUCACCUUGAUUCUAUCAUAACCUUCUCCCUUCCGAGAGUCAACACGCUCCGUGCUAUGAGUAUUGGCUCUACUCCUACCGUAGAGCGUCACAUACCACAUUUCAUGAGCAUUAUUGAGGAUAUUCAGACUUGACUGAUUGACACCGAGAAAGAACGAGAUGAAAACUGGGCCAAGCUGAAGGCACAAAAUGAUCUAAUGAAGUCUUUACAACAUGUGGUGGCCAAUCUUUAUUCCAUGCAAGGCCAACUAGUGCCAGAGAUACCACCGAUGCUAGAGUGGAACAUUCUCAACCCAUCACAAGGGUCGAACAAUGUUCCGGUAGUUCCACCUCAAGUUGGUGGAGUUGGGGCAACAAACGGAAUGAUGCCUUCUAAUGUUGAUGGUAUCACUCCGGUUGGUGGAGUUGGGACAGCAAACGGAAUGAUGCCUUCUAAUGUUCACGUUAUCACUCCGAUCUCCAAAAUCGCGUGAACUUCAUGUUAUGUUAUGUUUGAAAAUGUUCCUUGUAUGUUCAGAAGU